rnacentral:rRNA from 1 species
CCUACGGGGCGCAGCAGUGGGGAAUAUUGCACAAUGGGGGAAACCCUGAUGCAGCAACGCCGCGUGAAGGAAGACGGUUUUCGGAUUGUAAACUUCUGUUCUUAGUGAAGAAGAAUGACGGUAGCUAAGGAGCAAGCCACGGCUAACUACGUGCCAGCAGCCGCGGUAAUACGUAGGUGGCAAGCGUUGUCCGGAUUUACUGGGUGUAAAGGGAGCGUAGACGGCAGAGCAAGUCUGAAGUGAAAGCCCGCGGCCCAACUGCGGGACUGCUUUGGAAACUGCCCGGCUAGAGUGCUGGAGAGGUA